rnacentral:rRNA from 1 species
CCUGGUAGUCCACGCCGUAAACGAUGAGUGCUAAGUGUUAGAGGGUUUCCGCCCUUUAGUGCUGCAGCAAACGCAUUAAGCACUCCGCCUGGGGAGUACGGUCGCAAGACUGAAACUCAAAGGAAUUGACGGGGGCCCGCACAAGCGGUGGAGCAUGUGGUUUAAUUCGAAGCAACGCGAAGAACCUUACCAGGUCUUGACAUCCUCUGACAACCCUAGAGAUAGGGCUUCCCCUUCGGGGGCAGAGUGACAGGUGGUGCAUGGUUGUCGUCAGCUCGUGUCGUGAGAUGUUGGGUUAAGUCCCGCAACGAGCGCAACCCUUGAUCUUAGUUGCCAGCAUUCAGUUGGGCACUCUAAGGUGACUGCCGGUGACAAACCGGAGGAAGGUGGGGAUGACGUCAAAUCAUCAUGCCCCUUAUGACCUGGGCUACACACGUGCUACAAUGGGCAGAACAAAGGGCAGCGAAGCCGCGAGGCUAAGCCAAUCCCACAAAUCUGUUCUCAGUUCGGAUCGCAGUCUGCAACUCGACUGCGUGAAGCUGGAAUCGCUAGUAAUCGCGGAUCAGCAUGCCGCGUGAAUACGUUCCCGGGCCUUGUACACACCGCCCGUCACACCACGAGAGUUUGUAACACCCGAAGUCGGUGAGGUAA